rnacentral:rRNA from 1 species
AACGAACGCUGGCGGCAUGCCUAACACAUGCAAGUCGAACGAGAUCUUCGGGUCUAGUGGCGCACGGGUGCGUAACGCGUGGGAAUCUGCCCUUUGGUUCGGAAUAACAGUUGGAAACGACUGCUAAUACCAGAUGAUGACGAAAGUCCAAAGAUUUAUCGCCAGAGGAUGAGCCCGCGUAGGAUUAGCUAGUUGGUGUGGUAAAGGCGCACCAAGGCGACGAUCCUUAGCUGGUCUGAGAGGAUGAUCGGCCACACUGGGACUGAGACACGGCCCAGACUCCUACGGGAGGCAGCAGUGGGGAAUAUUGGACAAUGGGCGAAAGCCUGAGCCAGCAAUGCCGCGUGAGUGAUGAAGGCCUUAGGGUUGUAAAGCUCUUUUACCCGGGAUGAUAAUGACAGUACCGGGAGAAUAAGCUCCGGCUAACUCCGUGCCAGCCGCCGCGGUAA